rnacentral:tRNA from 1 species
GCCUGGCUGGCUCAGUUGGUAGAGCGUGAGACUCUUGAUCUCGGGGUUGUAGGUCCCAGCCCCAGGUUGGGUG